CAGUCUUUCUCGCGCUUCCGGCCCUAAAGGGCGAAGACAGAGCUUGCGGUGCCUCCCAAAUGGCAACCUCUGUGCAUUUUGAAAUAUCCUAUUGAAAUCGCCAGCCUUAAGCCAUUCACAAAAAAGUAUCUCGGCUCUUGGCUGUAGCCCUGGGUGUAUUCACAACUAGAAAGAAGCGAGCGCUUCACAAAAGAGCUGCCUGCUCAAGGCGGGCCAGGAGCCGCUCAGGGUUCCCUGAACGUGUCUGCUGGCAGGAAGCUCUCUGAGAGAAGUUCGGGGCUCUCCCCACCCAGCCGUGCGUUGCCUUUUCUCUCCCCAACAGUCACUGAGCUCCCUAGGCGCCAGGCACUGCUGGCUUUAGGUCAUUUAACCCUCCGGCUGCCCCACGAAGCAGGUCCUGUUACAUUUUUGGUUGUUUUGCUGAGGAACCUGAGAUCCAGGGGUCAAGCCGCUUCCUCAGGGUCACUCACGAGCAGGGGUGGGGCUUGAACCCUAUUUGUUUGACUCCAAAGGCAGCCUCCGAGCUCUGAGAGACACUGCCACCUUAUCUAGUGACCGGGGGAGGUGGACUGCACUGAGCACAGCCUGGGCCACGGCCACUGCCCCUCGGUCACACGGAGAGAGCUGCAGACCCAGGGCAUUCCAGGAUCAGGGCUCUGACCGCAGGGUUCUCUGUGAAUGCCCAGCGUCAAGGUUUUCCCAGCAUUUUAUGUCAAGUCUCAUUUUCACAGCCAGAGAUUAGCAAUGUGGAAGGAUGACUUUUGAUUCUGGAAAGUUCUGCUUGGCCAAGAGAUGUUCAAAGGUUAGAAUUACAAACUAUAUAUGUUUUUGGAGGGAGGUGGUGGCUCUGAGGCUCCAGCCGGUUCUUGAGUUGGGUGAUCUUAUCGAAAACCAGAUCAAGGUCCCUUUGUCGAAGCUGGCUGACUCUCUCCCUCUCUUUCGGGGAGAGGUAUUUCAUGGACACGUGACCUGACAUAUCCUUGAUGUUCAUCAGACUCCCAAGAGUUUUGCUCAUAUCCGUGUACUACAAGGAAAACAUUUCGCAGGAGACCCAGGUUCAGACAGAAGGAGGAAGGAUGCUGUAUGUACAUACCAGCUUUUCACUGAGAUCUAAAGCUUCAGCCACAUCCAUGUGCCCUGACUUCUCCAUGGCUGGGAUGGACCCUGCGUGUGUAAGGCC